UACAGAGGUCUCAAGCGUUGUUCGGAUUCAUUGGGCGUAAAGGGUGCGUAGGUGGCGGGGUAAGUCAGGUGUGAAAUUUCGGAGCCUUAACUCCGAAACUGCAUUUGAUACUGCCUUGCUUGAGGACUGGAGAGGAGACUGGAAUUCACGGUGUAGCAGUGAAAUGCGUAGAUAUCGUGAGGAAGACCAGUGGCGAAGGCGGGUCUCUGGACAGUUCCUGACACUGAGGCACGAAGGCCAGGGGAGCAAACGGG
rnacentral:rRNA from 1 species